rnacentral:piRNA from 1 species
AGGCAGUAAGAAAGAUGAACUCAACG